AUUGAACGCUGGCGGCAUGCCUUACACAUGCAAGUCGAACGGCAGCAUGGGUGCUUGCAUCUGAUGGCGAGUGGCGAACGGGUGAGUAAAGCAUCGGAACGUACCCGGAAGUGGGGGAUAACGUAGCGAAAGUUACGCUAAUACCGCAUAUUCUGUGAGCAGGAAAGCAGGGGCUCGUAAGACCUUGCGCUUUCGGAGCGGCCGAGGUCGGAUUAGCUAGUUGGUGAGGUAAAGGCUCACCAAGGCGCCGAACCGUAGCGGAUCUGAGAGGAUGAUCCGCCAAACUGGGACUGAGACACGGCCCAGACUCCUACGGGAGGCAGCAGUGGGGAAUUUUGGACAAUGGGCGGAAGCCUGAUCCAGCCAUGCCGCGUGAGUGAAGAAGGCCUUCGGGUUGUAAAGCUCUUUUGUCAGGGAAGAAAUAGUCUGGGUCAAUACCCUGGGCGGAUGACGGUACCUGAAGAAUAAGCACCGGCUAACUACGUGCCAGCCGCCGCCGUAA
rnacentral:rRNA from 1 species